rnacentral:rRNA from 1 species
UGCUACAAUGGCCGGUACAAAGAGAAGCGAGGCUGUGAAGCGGAGCAAAUCUCAAAAACCGGUCCCAGUUCGGAUUGUAGGCUGCAACUCGCCUACAUGAAGUCGGAGUUGCUAGUAAUCGCGGAUCAGAAUGCCGCGGUGAAUGCGUUCCCGGGUCUUGUACACACCGCCCGUCACACCAUGGAAGUUGGGGGCGCCCGAAGUUGCCUAAGAAAUAAGGUACCUAAGGCGAAACCAAUGACUGGGGUGAAGUCGUAACAAGGUAAC